rnacentral:rRNA from 1 species
GUGGGGAAUCUUAGACAAUGGGCGCAAGCCUGAUCUAGCCAUGCCGCGUGAGUGAUGAAGGCCCUAGGGUUGUAAAGCUCUUUCAGCUGGGAAGAUAAUGACGGUACCAGCAGAAGAAGCCCCGGCUAACUCCGUGCCAGCAGCCGCGGUAAUACGGAGGGGGCUAGCGUUGUUCGGAAUUACUGGGCGUAAAGCGCGCGUAGGCGGACUGAAAAGUUGGGGGUGAAAUCACGGUGCUCAACCUCGGAACUGCCUUCAAAACGAUCAGUCUGGAGUUCGAGAGAGGUGAGUGGAAUUCCGAGUGUAGAGGUGAAAAUCGUAGAUAUUCGGAGGAACACCAGUGGCGAAGGCGGCUCACUGGCUCGAUACUGACGCUGAGGUGCGAAAGCGUGGGGAGCAAACAGGAUUAGAAACCCGAGUAGUCC